rnacentral:lncRNA from 1 species
GAAGAAUUAACACUGAAUACAGAUUUGGACAAUAUACAAGAUAUAAAAAGAUUCUUGAUUAUUUUAUUACAAAUACCAGAUAACUUUGUUGGGGCUAUUCAUGUGAACAACCAAAAGUCUUUUUUCUUGGUGUGUGAAGAAAAAAGUUGAGUUCCAAAGAAGAAAGAAGAAAAUGAACAAGUGUAUUUCACUAUUGUUCCUUAUAUUANNNN